ACAUGGCGGAAAACCAACCAAACACAUAUACAAGGCUACAUUCAAGCUAUAUACCUCCGGACGAGGAUGGAAAUGUGGAGAUUAUAAUAACAGUGGAAAUGACUGACGGUAACUCAUUUCGGAUAAACGAUGAAGCUGAAUGUCGCGUAGACGUUACAGCAAAGGAGGGAUAUGUUACAGAAGUCCUGAUACAUAAAUUAGAUAAGAAAGGGACAAUUGUCCACAGCUAUCAGUGCAAAGAAAUUUACUCACCUUACGAUACUCAGGAGAUCAAG